AGAAGAUAUGGUAAUAGAAAUUAUAUAAUGUCUCUCAUAAAUUUUAAUGAAUGAAUAGUGUAGAAAAUAACGGUGAGAAAAUCAAUAUGCGCAGGGAAGCACGGGAAGAGGGGAGCCAUGGAAGCCAUAAAUGCAGUUUUGAGCCAAGUAUUUAAUGACUCUUCUUUCCUCCUUUCCUACUACACUUUCUCACUCUGAGAAGGAUCUCCCCCACUCCCCAGGGAGCAAUCUCAACACAAAACUAUGAUUCAUGCACUUUGAAUCUUAAACGGCUAUGAAAACAUAGCAUCUCUGUCUUCCAACAAAGGAUCCUCGUGAUGAGGAGCUCUUAAAUUUCACGAGUUUCGUAUUCUUUCACUCAGAGCUCAGAAAUGCUACCCAAACCCAGUUUUGAAUUCUCUCCGACUCCUUCAAAUACCCUGCAAUUCGUUCCCAACGUCAUGCAUAAUCUACUUCCAGGCAUCGCUUUGAUCUUAACGUUUCCAUGGAAGCCAAAUCUCACCUUUUCUUUUUAAUUCUUUUGUUCAACUUUGUCUUCCUCCAUGCAAACACUCUCCAAACCUACAUAGUUCAACUCCACCCACAUGGUGUAACUAGAUCUUCCUUUGCUUCCGAGUUUCACUGGCACCUCUCAUUUCUUGAGCAGACCGUUUCGUCUGAAGAAGACUGUUCUUCUCGGCUUAUCUACUCUUACCGUUCUGCCAUGGAAGGUUUUGCAGCUCUGCUUUCUGAAUCAGAGCUUGUGUCAUUGCAGAAGUUGCCUGAUGUUAUUGCAAUUAUGCCAGACAGGAGGCUCCAAAUUCAAACUACCUAUUCUUACAAAUUCUUGGGACUUAAUCCCACGGGUGAAGAUGCUUGGCAUAAGUCUAGAUUUGGUCGUGGAACAAUAAUUGGGGUCCUUGACACUGGAGUUUGGCCGGAGAGUCCAAGCUUCAAUGAUCAAGGAAUGCCACCAGUUCCCAAGAAGUGGAGAGGGAUUUGCCAAGAAGGGCAAGAUUUUAAUUCUUAUAACUGUAACAAGAAACUCAUUGGUGCAAGGUUCUUCAAUAUAGGUCACCGUGUGGCAUCUACUUCAACAUCAUCAAACACUACUCGGGAAUAUUUGUCCCCGAGAGACUCUCAAGGGCAUGGAACUCACACAUCAUCCACAGCAGGAGGAGCUUCAGUUCCAAUGGCAAGUGUGCUUGGUAUUGGAGCUGGUAUUGCACGAGGAAUGGCCCCUGGUGCACACAUUGCAGUUUACAAAGUUUGCUGGUUUAAUGGAUGUUACAGCUCAGAUAUCCUAGCUGCAAUGGAUGUCGCAAUUAGAGAUGGAGUUGAUGUCCUGUCCCUCUCUUUGGGUGGCUUUUCAAUACCACUUUUUGCAGAUAGCAUUGCAAUUGGAAGUUUUCGAGCAGUUGAGCAUGGUAUUUCAGUUAUAUGUGCCGCAGGAAACUAUGGCCCUCUCCAAAACUCAGUUACGAAUGAAGCUCCAUGGAUUGCUACCAUUGGCGCAAGCACACUUGACAGAAAAUUUCCUGCCAUAGUUCGAUUGGGUAAUGGACAAUUCCUUUAUGGAGAAUCCAUGUACCCAGGAAACCAGUUUUCAAACACUAUAAAAGAGCUUGAACUAGUUUAUGUAACUAGUAGAGACGCAGGGAGUGAAUUUUGCUUCAGAGGAUCUCUCCCACCAGCAAAAGUACGUGGCAAAAUGGUGGUUUGUGACCGAGGUGUCAAUGGAAGGGCAGAAAAAAGUCAAGCUGUGAAGGAAUCUGGUGGAGCUGCAAUGAUCUUAGCCAAUACAGAGAUCAAUCUCGAAGAAGACUCGGUGGACGUUCAUGUCCUGCCUGCAACAUUAAUUGGUUUUGCAGAAUCAGUAAGCUUGAAAGCUUACGUUAACUCUACAAGUAAACCAAGAGCUCAGAUCAUUUUUGGAGGAACUGUAAUUGGGAAAUCCAGAGCACCAGCAGUAGCUCAGUUUUCAGCUAGAGGACCAAGUUUAACUAACCCUUCAAUCCUCAAACCAGAUAUAAUUGCACCUGGGGUAAACAUCAUUGCAGCUUGGCCUCAAAACCUAGGCCCCACUGGUCUUCCAGAAGAUCCAAGAAGAGUGAAUUUCACAGUAAUGUCAGGGACAUCCAUGGCUUGUCCCCAUGUCAGUGGAAUUGCUGCCCUGAUCCGCUCAGCUCAUCCCAAAUGGACCCCUGCUGCAGUUAAAUCUGCAAUAAUGACUACUGCAGAUAUAACUGACCAUUCUGGAAAUCAAAUAAUGGACGGUAACAAACCAGCAGAAGUUUUUGCGAUUGGAGCCGGGCAGGUAAACCCUGAAAGAGCCAUCAAUCCAGGAUUGAUAUAUGAUAUUAGGCCAGAGGAGUAUGUCACCCACCUAUGCACACUAGGAUACACUAGAUCAGAAAUUUUCACAAUCACACACAGGAAUGUGAGCUGCAAUGAACUAUUGCAGAUGAAUGAGGGUUUCAGCCUCAAUUAUCCUUCCAUUUCUGUAAUUUUCAAGCAUGGAAUGACAAGAGAGAUGAUCAAGAGACGACUAAAAAAUGUGGGGAGUCCUAAUUCCAUCUACUCGGUGGAAGUAACAGCUCCCGUGGGAGUCAAAGUGAGAGUAAAACCUCGAAGGCUAGUUUUCAGACACAUAAAUCAAAGUUUGAGCUAUAGAGUAUGGUUCAUAUCAAGGAAGACAAUAGUAAGAGAGAAAGAGAGCUUUGCACAAGGGCAUUUGACAUGGGUGCACUCUCAAAAUAAUCUUUCCAGGGUUAGAAGCCCCGUUUCAGUGACUUGGAAGUACAAGUAGAAGAAGUUAUAAUAUCACUGAUUGCUGUGAACUAGAUGGUUUAGGAUUUAGUUCACUAUUAGUAUUGCAUAAGAGGAUUUCUGGUCAUGAAGAUUUGUUGGUGGAAUUUAUAUUUGAUUACAGCAGUUUACUUUGUGAUAUUAAAUUUCUAAUUUAAGAUGGUUGAAAUCAGAAAUUGGUUGCUCAAUUAUAAAACUCUCCAAGGCAUUCAUGAAUUGGCAUACUGCAAGAAAAACAAAUCAAGCAUAAAUUAACUAACUUCUCCAUCAAUUUGUUUAUCCACUAAAUAGAACAAAAUACUAACAUAAACAACAUGGAGUACAAUCAGCAGUAAGCAAACAUGCAAUAUAUUAGAGCUCUAAUACUUAAUUAAUAAAAGAAAAAAAAGUUCAGAAAGUGCCAUUAGCAGAGUAGCGAAAUAUGAAGUGCUGCAGCUGAGUAACUAUAGUCCAUAUUGAUCGGCUAUUGAACCUUUCUUAUACAUUAAACAAGAGAACUGAUGUAGGAAGAAACAAGUUCUAUGACAUGUGCUGUCUCACUUGUACAUUUAAAUAAUGGAGGAGAAUGGAAAAUGUGCAUCACCAUGAACUGCAAAAUUUGUUAAGAAAGAAGAGGAAUAUGGUAGCUGUAAGCAUCUACAUGGACAUUAACCAAGAUCUUCAAGUCUUCUUGAUUAAUUUAAACAAAACAAAUGAGGUGACAAGUGCAAAACAGAAGGAAUGGAUAUACAUUGCCUCAACUUUUGACGAAUUGCAGGCCAUUUGCAUUAGCAUAUCGCUCCAUGAAUCUCAUGAAUCUGUCCCAAUCCCGAGGAGAACGCAUGACAUAUUUUGCCUCAAUUCGGGAUGGUUUUCCAUUUACAUAUUUUGCACUAACAUCAACUGAUUGGAGAACGCCUUCCUCAUCAAUCAUGUAAAAGCCAGUUAUAUCACCAAGUUCACCAGAAGAGUCAAAUACAGAUGGCUGAUCAAAGGUGAAAAUGGCCACACCAUUUGUACCAUCCCUUGACUUGGUUAGUCUUACAUCCGGUAUUGUCUGUUCAUCAGUUCCUUGGAUAAAUUGAAUUGUUGGUUUGACCAUCAUUGUAAUAAAUCUUGCUGUUUUCCACCUAACAGAAGCCAACUGUGGAUGGGACAGGUGCAAAGAUUGGCCAUUGAAUGCGGACUUUGCAAAACGUUGGACAGCCCAAGAUACCGAGCCUACAAAACAAGACGGGCAUUGCAGGUGUUGUAGAUAGCAGGUUAGAUUGGUAAUCAAUGGCAGAACAAUUUAUUCUACUUGUUUGACUACAUGCAAGGCUCUUGCAUUGCUCAGUUGCACAAAUGUGUCACACAGCCACCGAAAAAAGCAAGAAGCAGACAAAAACUGGGUGAAUUAUUAACCAUACAAGUGGCAUAAAUCAUUAGGUCCUGCGUUACCUAAAAGUGAUUUAUGGUAUGUAGUUAACUUAAAGCUCUAUAUCUUUAUCCACAGAAUUUAUUUAAUUGGAAUAGGUUUGUUUUUAUUUAAAGUUUCCUAUUUAAGUUGCACUCUACUAAUUAAAAUUUUAAAUUUAAACUAAUUUUAAUUGGCUAAAAUUUAUAGAAAAAUAUUAAACAUCCAAUAAAUAUAUUUAUCUUUGCUCAAAAAAGCCAGCAUCAAAGCUAAUAAAUCUACUAUAAAAGCUUUGAACUCUCAGAUGGAAGAACAUAUCUUCUCAUAGGCCUGCACAACAUUGGUUUGAGAAACAUGAAAAGACAAAAGCUUUGCAGCCUAUUACUCAACUAAUUUCUACUCUUAUUUAUAUAUAUAUAAGUUCUAACCAUCCGAAUUAGUAUAAUCCACUAUAUUGCAACCCCAAAUACCGUUCCAAUUAAGCCUACCCCUACGUACUCGUACCUAGGAAAGUACCAUAUCUAACAGUUGAACGAAUCAAAGCGAACUACAAACUAGGUAACACUGGUUAGGUCCUUAUUAAUAACUAGUUCCUUAAUUUGGGAUUAGCUAGCGUCUAGUCAUGUUAUUUUCACAAAACAUAAACUUGUACAUCAGACAUGGAAAAGAAUAAACAAAUAACUGCCAUUUUCUUUAAGGCUUGAAAUCCCAAAUGCUUCCCUGGCCUAAUUAAUAACAAUUCUGGAAUUCUAAAUUCUCCCCUAUGUCUGAUAAAGGAAUCUUGCCAGGAAUUUACUUGGGUUGGGUUUGUAUUGCCACAUUUUCCAUGUUAUAUGAGGAACACAAUCCAAUUGACACUGACUGAUCAAAGUGUCAGGUUUGAAAAACGACCGUACGGAAAAGGCAACCAAGACAAUUCUCUCACAAAAAAUCCCAACUUUCCAGGACUAAACGUUCUCACUAUCUGCAUCAACCCACGCCAAAGACCAGCGACUCACUGGUAUAAAGUUUUCCCACCAACAUUAGUCCGUCAAGCAAUAAACAUGAGAAGAAAAAAAAAAGGAAGGAAAUUUACAUGUGAUUGAAGAACUCAACAACGUUAAAAAGAUUAGAUUACAACCAAAAUGUAACAAUUUUGAAGAAUCCAUAUGUAAUUAUCAACAAUUUAACCAUGAUUAGAGAUAAAGUCCCAUCGACAAUAAAAAAGCAAAAGCACCCAGUUGGUGUACAUUUGGGGGAAGAGAGAGUAC
rnacentral:misc_RNA from 1 species